rnacentral:rRNA from 1 species
AUUGAACGCUGGCGGCAGGCCUAACACAUGCAAGUCGAGCGGAGCGGCGGACGGGCGAGUGAUGCCUAGGAAGCUGCCUGGCAGUGGGGGAUAACGUCCGGAAACGGGCGCUAACACCGCAUACUAUCAGAUGAGUCUAGGUCGGUUUAGCUAGUUGGUGGGGUAAAGGCCUACCAAGGCGACGAGCCGUAACUGGUCUGAGAGGAUGAUCAGUCACACUGGAACUGAGACACGGUCCAGACUCCUACGGGAGGCAGCAGUGGGGAAUAUUGGACAAUGGGCGAAAGCCUGAUCCAGCCAUGCCGCGUGUGUGAAGAAGGUCUUCGGAUUGUAAAGCACUUUCAGUUGGGAGGCGUUACCCGCAGAAGAAGCACCGGCUAACUUCGUGCCAGCCGCCGCGGUAAUUC